rnacentral:rRNA from 1 species
GACGAACGCUGGCGGCGUGCUUAACACAUGCAAGUCGAACGGAAAGGCCCUGCUCUUGUUGGGUGCUCGAGUGGCGAACGGGUGAGUAACACGUGAGCAACCUGCCCUUGACUUUGGGAUAACUUCAGGAAACUGGGGCUAAUAUCGGAUAGGAGCUCCUGCUGCAUGGUGGGGGUUGGAAAGUUUCGGCGGUUGGGGAUGGACUCGCGGCUUAUCAGCCUGUUGGUGGGGUAGUGGCUUACCAAGGCUUUGACGGGUAGCCGGCCUGAGAGGGUGACCGGCCACAUUGGGACUGAGAUACGGCGCAGACGCCGACGGGAUGCAGCAGUGGGGAAUAUUGCACAAUGGGCGGGAGCCUGAUGCGGCGACGCCGCGUGCGGGAUGACGGCCUUCGGGUUGUAAACCGCUUUCGCCUGGGACGAAGCGUGAGUGACGGUAAUGGGUAAAGAAGCACCGGCUAACUACGUG